AGCCGUGCGGUAGACACAAAGCGAACUAUUCUUUCGCCUUUUACUAAAGAAUACCGUGUGUUUGCCGCAAAUCACGGCAUACGCUAAUUUUUGAAGGGGUUCUCCGACGGCGAGCCCU
rnacentral:snRNA from 13 species